rnacentral:lncRNA from 1 species
CCGUGUAACGUAGCUCCUUAUUCACUUGCUCUGGUGAACUUCGGCCCAGUGGGCAUGGUGAAGCCGCCGUGUUCUGCUUCCCACCGGCAGCAAGCACCAUCCCCUCCCUCUCUCUCUCUUAUUUUUUUAUUUCUUUUCUUUUAAUCCUACGCGUUCAUCUGAGAUCGGACGGCCGUGAUCGUCCCGUACCCCUUCGCGAGUCUUUUUGUUAAAGAGACCCCCGGCUUUUGGUUAAUCAACCCGCAGUCCUCAGCCAACUCCAGAUCCAGAUUGAAAAUUGAUAUAAAUUUCAUUUUUUACUUCAAAUUAAUUACAGAUUUGCCACUGCAAUGUUUUGGCUAUAAAAUAUUCGUUUUAGCUCCGAUUUGAACCGUUAAAAUUGCGUUAGAUUCGUUUUCGCGAGAUCUACAUGUUAGUAAUCUUGGUUCAUCAGUUUGAAACAUUUAAAUUUUGUGACCCAAUUUAAUUAAUUACUUUUCUAUAGGAAAAUCUUAGAAAAUUCAUAUCUUCUCCGUUUUAGCUCCGUUUCGAUCCGUUCAAGUUGCGUUAGUUUCAUAAUUUUAUAAGCUUCACGUUGGUACCAUUGUUGCCUAGGUUCACCACUGAUAGGUUUCAUAGAUAAAUACAAGUCCGUAGAUAGCCUUUGCAAUCCCGUUUAAUGAGUAGAUUUCACAUCAUAACUCCGUUUUCCGUGAAUUUCCCGUUGACGUGAUCGUAGCAGCGUGUAGAUGAUUUUGGAAAACUUUUAUUUAAAUUUAUUUACUGCUGGUGUACUGUUCUAAUUGUAAUCUUGUUUGCUUCGUGUAUAUCUGUCUCCGAUUGUUUGUGUGUUGAUGAUCGAUGAUUGAGAUUAGUCAGUGGGCAUUACUUCGGUGAUCAAGAUCAGAGUCUUAGAAGCAAGUAAGAUCAGCAGGACUAGCAGGAGCAAUUGGAUCAAGGCAAGUAUAGCAUUUGGGUUUUAAUUCUAUGACCAUGAUCUUAUGACUAGAUUGAUAUAAAGCAACAAAUGAUAAUAAUGACUUUUUAGCAACU